rnacentral:lncRNA from 1 species
AUGUGGAAGCAUCAGAAUUAAUUUCAAGAGUCACUUCACAUAGAAGAACUUUUCAGAAUUAAUUCUCUGGUGUUUCUCCGAAGAGUCGCGCAACUUCUCAUUUGGUGCCUCACCUCUCCAUCCUUGAUCAGCUCACAAAGCCAUCCAAGGGUCUACAAGGGAGGUGCUAAUCUGAGUUGGGUGUGGGAAAAAAUUUGAAGAAAG